rnacentral:rRNA from 1 species
UACCAGCACCCCGAGUGGUCGGGACGUUUAUUGGGCCUAAAGCAUCCGUAGCCGGUUCUACAAGUCUUCCGUUAAAUCCACCUGCUUAACAGAUGGGCUGCGGAAGAUACUAUAGAGCUAGGAGGCGGGAGAGGCAAGCGGUACUCAGUGGGUAGGGGUAAAAUCCGUUGAUCCAUUGAAGACCACCAGUGGCGAAGGCGGCUUGCCAGAAUGCGCUCGACGGUGAGGGAUGAAAGCUGGGGGAGCAAACCGGG